rnacentral:rRNA from 1 species
CUCUUAGAUGUUCUGGGCCGCACACGCGCUACACUGAAGGAGGCAGCGUGUACUCCUGGAUCGAAAGAUUUGGGUAACCCGCGAAUCUCCUUCGUGCUAGGGAUUGAGGUUUGCAAUUAUCCUUCAUGAACGAGGAAUUCCCAGUAAGUGCAAGUCAUAAGCUUGCGCUGACUACGUCCCUGCCCUUUGUACACACCGCCCGUCGCUACUACCGAUUGAAUGAUUUAGUGAGGACUUCGGACUGGGACCGAUGCGGCUUUCGGGCUGCGUCGGUAUUCUGGAAAGAUGUCCAAACUGUAUCAUUUAGAGGAAGUAAAAGUCGUANCA